rnacentral:rRNA from 1 species
AUUGAACGCUGGCGGCAGGCCUAACACAUGCAAGUCGAGCGGAUGAAGGGAGCUUUCUCCUGGAUUCAGCGGCGGACGGGUGAGUAAUGCCUAGGAAUCUGCCUGGUAGUGGGGGAUAACGUCCGGAAACGGGCGCUAAUACCGCAUACGUCCUGAGGGAGAAAGGGGGGGAUCUUCAGACCUCACGCUAUCAGAUGAGCCUAGGUCGGAUUAGCUAGUUGGUGGGGUAAAGGCCUACCAAGGCGACGAUCCGUAACUGGUCUGAGAGGAUGAUCAGUCACACUGGAACUGAGACACGGUCCAGACUCCUACGGGAGGCAGCAGUAGGGAAUCUUGGGCAAUGGGCGAAAGCCUGAUGCAGCCAUGCCGCGUGUGUGAAGAAGGUCCUCGGAUUGUAAAGCACUUUAAGUUGGGAGGAAGGGAAGUAAGUUAAUACAUUGCUGUUUUGACGUUACCAACAGAAUAAGCAACGGCUAACUUCGUG